GACAGCUCAGGUGGCCAGAGUUGUUAGAGCGUCCGCCUCGGAUGCGGGAGGUCGCGGGUUCGAUCACCCACGAGGCA